rnacentral:rRNA from 1 species
GCCAAACAGCUAGCUUAAACACCUAAACAACCAAUACAACAUUAAAAACCUUCACAAAACCACCACAACGCAAAUUAAAACAUUCUACCGCCCAAGUAUGUGAGACAGAAAAGGCACCACUUAAAGCCAUAGACACAGUACCGCAAGGGAAUGCUGAAAGAGAAAUGAAAUAAAUCAUCAAAGCACAAUAAAGCAGAGACUAACCCUCGUACCUUUUGCAUCAUGAUUUAGCCAGCCCCCCUGAGCAAAGGGAACUUUAGUUCAAAGCCCCGAAACUAAGUGAGCUACCCCGAGACAGCCUAUUAAUUAGGGCCAACCCGUCUCUGUGGCAAAAGAGUGGGAAGAUCUCCGGGUAGAGGUGACAGACCUACCGAACUUAGUUAUAGCUGGUUGCCUAAGAAAUGAAUAAAAGUUCAGCCUCGCACUCCUUAACUCAAAAAUUUUUAAACUACGAGCCAAAGAAACAUGCGAGAGUUAUUCAUAAGGGGUACAGCCCUUAUGAAACAGAAUACAAUCUCACCAGGAGGUUAAAGAUUAUACUAAACAAGAUAUACUGCUUCAGUGGGCCUAAAGCAAGCCACCUGAUCAGAAAGCGUUAAAGCUCCGGCAGAACAAAAAUCCAUUAUUUAAAUAUUAAAUCUAAAACCCCUAACCUUAUUAGGCCACUCCAUGCCCACAUGGAAAAGAUACUGCUAAAAUGAGUAAUAAGAAGGAACCCCCUUCUCCAAGCCUACGUGUAUGCUAGAUCGGACCCACCACUAGUAAUUAUCGAGCCCAGCUCAAGAGGGAAAUGUGACUAUAUCAAACACCAAGAAACACUCACACAACCUAAUCGUUAACCCCACACCGGAAGGCUAUGAAGGAAAGACCAAAAGAAAAGGAAGGAACUCGGCAAACACAAGCCUCGCCUGUUUACCAAAAACAUCGCCUCCUGCAAAAAUCAACGUAUAGGAGGUCUUGCCUGCCCAGUGACAAGUUAAACGGCCGCGGUAUUUUGACCGUGCGAAGGUAGCGCAAUCACUUGUCUUUUAAAUGAAGACCUGUAUGAAUGGUGAAACGAGGGCUUAACUGUCUCCCUUUUCAGGUCAAUGAAAUUGAUCUACCCGUGCAGAAGCGGCGGGUAUAAAAAUACAAGACGAGAAGACCCUUUGGAGCUUAAGAUACAAGAUCACCUAUGUCAAGGACUAAAUACACUAGUCAAACUAAAUAACACCUGAUCUCAAUCUUCGGUUGGGGCGACCACGGGAGAAAAUAAAGCUCCCACGCGGACUGGGGUAACCCCCUAAAAUUAAGAGCAACACCUCUAAACAGCAGAACUUCUGACCAUAAAGAUCCGGCUACCUGCCGACCAGCGAACCAAGUUACCCUAGGGAUAACAGCGCAAUCCCCUUUCAGAGUCCAUAUCGACAAGGGGGUUUACGACCUCGAUGUUGGAUCAGGACAUCCUAAUGGUGCAGCCGCUAUUAAGGGUUCGUUUGUUCAACGAUUAAAGUCCUACGUGAUCUGAGUUCAGACCGGAGCAAUCCAGGUCAGUUUCUAUCUGUAAUGCUACUUUUCCUAGUACGAAAGGACCGGAAAAGGGGAGCCCAUGUUACCAAACACGCUCCACCCCAAUUUAAUGCAAUCAACUAAAUUAAACAAAAGGGGGCACAAACCCACAUCAAGAUAAGAUU